AGCAUUAGCUCAUUUUAGGGAGGAUACUGGGCAGGAUUAGGGAAUCGUGUGGGAUUAGGGAUGUAAUAAAACGGUAUUUGGGGGAUUAUUGGCGGGAUUAGGAAAUUUGAUGGGAUUAGGCGAGUUUAGUGGGGAUAAUGGGUGACAUUAAAGGGAUUAUGAGUGGGACUAGGGGAAUUAUGUGGGAUUAGGAGUGCAAUUAGACGGGUUUAGGGGAAUGAUGUGGGAUGAGGCAAUGUUGGGGGGACCAGGGGGAUUAGAGGCACGAUAAAGGGGAUUAUAUAGGAUUAGGGGUGUGAUUGGGGGGGAUUAAGGAGAUUUUUGGUGGGAUUAAGGGAAUUUUGUGGGAUUAGAGGGGACAAUGGGUGGGAUUAGGGGGAUCAUGGGCGGGAUUAGGGGUAUUAUCUGGGGUUAGGUGUGGGAUUAGUAGAUUAUGGGCAGGAUGAGGGGGAUUAUCUGGGAUUAGGGGCGUAAUAAAGUGGGAUUUGAGGGAUUAGGGGCGGGAUCCUUGGGUUCCAUGAAGGGCGGCCAUCUUGGGCGGUGGCCAUCUUGGGUGGCCAUCUUGGGCGGCCAUUUUGGUCAGUGGCCAUCUUGGCUGGCCAUUUUAGGUAGCCAUUUUCGGUAGCCAUCCAGGGCGGCCAUUUUGGGUAGCCAUCUUGGGCAGCCAUUUUGGGUAGCCAUUUUAGGUAGCCCCAUUGGGCAACCACCUUGGGCGGCCAUCUUGGCUGGUGGCCAUUUUGGGUGGUAGCCACUUUAGGUAGCCCCAUUGGACAACCACCUUGGGCAGCCAUCUUGGGGGCAGCCAUCUUGGGGGCAGCCAUCUUGGGCGGCAGCCAUCUUGGGUGGCGGCCAUCUUGGGCAGCAGCCAUCUUGGGUGGCAGCCAUCUUGGGCGGCCAUUUUGGGCAGCCAUUUUCAGUAGCCCCUUCGGGCAACCCCCCUGGGAUUUGGGCUACCGGGGUAGGCCGGGUGGGCACGCACCGGGGAAGAGGAGGCGGGCGGCCAUGCCGGGCAGCACCAUGAGGAAGACGGGCAGCACCUUCAGGUACCCGCAGAGCACGCAGCCCGCCCGCACGUGCAGCAG
rnacentral:lncRNA from 1 species